UACGAAGGGUGCAACCGUUGCUCGGAAUCAUUGGGCGUAAAGCGCACGUAGGCGGCUUGCCAAGUCGGACGUGAAAUCCCUCAGCUCAACUGAGGACGUGCAUCCGAAACUGGCGAGCUUGAGUACUGAAGAGGAUCGCGGAAUUCCCGGUGUAGAGGUGAAAUGCGUAGAUAUGCGGAGGAACACCGAUGGCGAAGGCAAUCCCCUGGGCCUGCACUGACGCUCAUGCACGAAAGCGUGGGGAGCAAACAGG
rnacentral:rRNA from 1 species